GUCUAUGGCCAUUCUGCCCUGAACAAGCCCAAUCCCAUCUGAUCUCAGAAGCGAGGUUGGGCUUGGUUAGUACUUGGAUGGGAGAUCACCUAGGAAUAAAAUAAUAAGACUAGGUGCUGUAGGCA
ensembl:rRNA 5S_rRNA 5S ribosomal RNA